rnacentral:rRNA from 1 species
AGCAGUGAGGAAUAUUGGUCAAUGGGCGCAAGCCUGAACCAGCCAUCCCGCGUGCAGGAAGACGGCGCUAUGCGUUGUAAACUGCUUUUCUGGAGGAAGAAACGCCGCGACGUGUCGUGGUUUGACAGUACUUCAGGAAUAAGCAUCGGCUAACUCCGUGCCAGCAGCCGCGGUAAUACGGAGGAUGCAAGCGUUAUCCGGAUUCAUUGGGUUUAAAGGGUGCGUAGGCGGACUUAUAAGUCAGUGGUGAAAUCCUGCAGCUUAACUGUAGCACUGCCAUUGAUACUGUUAGUCUUGAGUUUGGUUAAGGUAGGCGGAAUGUGUAAUGUAGCGGUGAAAUGCUUAGAUAUUACACAGAACACCAAUUGCGAAGGCAGCUUACUGGACCGAUACUGACGCUGAGGCACGAAAGCGUGGGGAGCGAACAGGAUUAGAUACCCUGGUAGUCCACGCAGUAAACGAUGAUCACUCGCUGUUGGCGAUACACAGUCAGCGGCUAAGCAAAAGCAUUAAGUG